rnacentral:rRNA from 1 species
UUAGCCAUGCAAGUCUCAGUACAUGCCGCACUAAGGUGAAACCGCAAAAGGCUCAUUAAAUCAGUUAUGGUUCCUUGGAUCUUAAACAGUUACUUGGAUAACUGUGGUAAUUCUAGAGCUAAUACAUGCAAACAAGUCCCGACCAGAGAUGGGAGGGACGCUUUUAUUAGAUCAAAACCGAUCGGCGUCCGGCUCCGGCCGGCGCCGUCUCUUUUGGUGACUCUGGAUAACUUUUAGCCGAUCGCACGGUCACAGUACCGGCGACGCAUCUUUCAAAUGUCUGACUUAUCAACUGUCGAUGGUAGGCUCUGCGCCUACCAUGGUUGUAACGGGUAACGGGGAAUCAGGGUUCGAUUCCGGAGAGGGAGCCUGAGAAACGGCUACCACAUCCAAGGAAGGCAGCAGGCGCGCAAAUUACCCACUCCCGGCACGGGGAGGUAGUGACGAAAAAUAACGAUACGGGACUCAUCCGAGGCCCCGUAAUCGGAAUGAGUACACUUUAAAUACUUUAACGAGUACCAAUUGGAGGGCAAGUCUGGUGCCAGCAGCCGCGGUAAUUCCAGCUCCAAUAGCGUAUAUUAAAGUUGUUGCGGUUAAAAAGCUCGUAGUUGGAUCUGUGUGCCACGCUGUCGGUUCACCGCCCGUCGGUGUCAACUGGCAUGUCUGUGGGACGUCCUGCCGGUGGCGGUACGGGCUGCCGGCGCUGCGUAGGGGCACAACCCCGAAGCACGCCGGCGUGUCCCGGUCCGCCGAUCCAAUCCCGCCGCGGUGCUCUUCACUGAGUGUCGAGGUGGGCCGGCACGUUUACUUUGAACAAAUUAGAGUGCUCAAAUCAUGUCGUAUUUAGGCCUGAAUACUGUGU